rnacentral:rRNA from 1 species
UGGGGAAUAUUGCACAAUGGGGGGAACCCUGAUGCAGCGACGCCGCGUGAAGGAGGAAGUGCUUCGGCAUGUAAACUUCUAUCAGCAGGGAAGAAAUCGGACGGUACCUGACUAAGAAGCCCCGGCUAACUACGUGCCAGCAGCCGCGGUAAUACGUAGGGGGCAAGCGUUAUCCGGAUUUACUGGGUGUAAAGGGAGCGUAGGCGGCCGUGCAAGUCAGAAGUGAAAGCCCAAGGCUCAACCAUGGGACUGCUUUUGAAACUGUGCGGCUAGAUUGCAGGAGGGGCAAGUGGAAUUCCUAGUGUAGCGGUGAAAUGCGUAGAUAUUAGGAGGAACACCAGUGGCGAAGGCGGCUUGCUGGACUGUAAAUGACGCUGAGGCUCGAAAGCGUGGGGAGCAAACAGG